rnacentral:tRNA from 1 species
CUGGGGUUGUAGCUCAGUGGUAGAGCUCUUGCCUAGCCCAUGUGAGGCUCUGGAUUUGAUCCUCAGCACCACAUAAAAAUAAAUAAAUAAAAUAAAGGUAUUGUGUCCAUUUACAACUAAAAAAAAAAAAAUAUAUAUAUAUAUAUAUAUAUAUAUAUAAAGUCAGGGGAUGAAGCUCAGUAGUGAGCACCCUGGGUUCAAUCCCUAGCACUUAGA